rnacentral:rRNA from 1 species
AAUGGAGAGACGCAGGAAGGUAGCCGAACCGCGGCGAUGGUUGUUCCGCGGGUAGGGUGUAGGGCGAGGUGUAGGCAAAUCCGCACCUCAUGUGCCUGAGACCUGACACGGACCCGUAAGGGGAAGUCGGUGAUCCUAUGCUGCCAAGAAAAUCUUCUAGCGAGGUUCUAGCCGCCCGUACCCCAAACCGACUCAGGUGGUUAGGUAGAGAAUACCAAGGCGAUCGAGUGAAUCGUGGUUAAGGAAUUCGGCAAAAUACCCCCGUAACUUCGGGAGAAGGGGGGCCCAGAGGGUGACGGGGCAUGCUCCCCGAGCCUGAACGGCCGCAGAGACCAGGGAGAAGCGACUGUUUACUAAAAACACAGGUCCGUGCCAAGUCGCAAGACGAUGUAUACAGACUGACGCCUGCCCGGUGCUGGAACGUUAAGGGGACCGGUUAGCCUCACGGCGAAGCUGAGAACUUAAGCGCCAGUAAACGGCGGUGGUAACUAUAACCAUCCUAAGGUAGCGAAAUUCCUUGUCGGGUAAGUUCCGACCUGCACGAAUGGCGUAACGACUUCUCCACUGUCUCAACCACGAACUCGGCGAAAUUGCACUACGAGUAAAGAUGCUCGUUACGCGCAGAAGGACGGAAAGACCCCGGGACCUUUACUACAGCUUGGUAUUGGUGUUCGGUACGGCUUGUGUAGGAUAGGUGGGAGACUGUGAAGCUGACACGCCAGUGUCGGUGGAGUCAACGUUGAAAUACCACUCUGGUCGUUCUGGAUAUCUAACCUAGGUCCGUAAUCCGGAUCAGGGACAGUGCCUGGUGGGUAGUUUAACUGGGGCGGUUGCCUCCUAAAAGGUAACGGAGGCGCCCAAAGGUUCCCUCAGCCUGGUUGGCAAUCAGGUUUCGAGUGUAAGUGCACAAGGGAGCUUGACUGUGAGACUGACAAGUCGAACAGGGACGAAAGUCGGGACUAGUGAUCCGGCGGUGGCUUGUGGAAGCGCCGUCGCUCAACGGAUAAAAGGUACCCCGGGGAUAACAGGCUGAUCUUGCCCAAGAGUCCAUAUCGACGGCAUGGUUUGGCACCUCGAUGUCGGCUCGUCGCAUCCUGGGGCUGGAGUAGGUCCCAAGGGUUGGGCUGUUCGCCCAUUAAAGCGGUACGCGAGCUGGGUUUAGAACGUCGUGAGACAGUUCGGUCCCUAUCCUCUGCGCGCGCAGGAAACUUGAGAAGGGCUGUCCCUAGUACGAGAGGACCGGGAUGGACGAACCUCUGGUGUGUCAGUUGUUCUGCCAAGAGCACCGCUGAUUAGCUACGUUCGGGAGUGAUAACCGCUGAAAGCAUCUAAGCGGGAAGCAUGCUUCAAGAUGAGGUUUCCAUGGGGUUUACCCCGAGAGGCUCCCAGCUAGACUACUGGGUUGAUAGGCCGGAUGUGGAAGUGCGGUAACGCAUGGAGCUGACCGGUACUAAUAAGCCGAUAACUUGCC